rnacentral:rRNA from 1 species
AUUGAACGCUGGCGGCAGGCCUAACACAUGCAAGUCGAACGAGUGGCGGACGGGUGAGUAAUGUGUGGGAAACUGCCUGAUGGAGGGGGAUCACUACUGGAAACGGUAGCUAAUACCGCAUACCAGCAUAAGUGCCCAUAUGGGAUUAGCUAGGUGGUGGGGUAACGGCUCACCAAGGCGACGCUCCAUAUCGGGUCUGAGAGGAUGACCAGCCACACUGGAACUGAGACACGGUCCAGACUCCUACGGGAGGCAGCAGUGGGGAAUAUUGCACAAUGGGCGCAAGCCUGAUGCAGCCAUGCCGCGUGUAUGAAGAAGGCCUUAGGGUUGUAAAGUACUUUCAGCGGGGAGGCGUUACCCGCAGAAGAAGCACCGGCUAACUCCGUGCCAGCCGCCGCGGUAAUUC